CUUUUUUUUUUUUUUUUUUUUUUUUUUCUUCCCUUUCCUUCCUUUCUUUUUGGUUUAGAGAAGCCCUUUCAAUAUUUCCUUUAACCUGGGUUUUGUGUUGCUGUAUUCUUUAAGUUUUUGUUUGUUGGGAAAAAUUUUUAUUUCCCCUUCUAUUUUAAAUGAUAUUCUUGCUGGAUAGAGUAUUCUAGGUUGCAUAUUUUUUCCUUUGAGCACUUUAAAUAUCUCUUGCCAUUCCCUCCUGGCCUGUAGUGUUUCUGUAGAGAAAUCAGCUGAUAUUCUUAUGGGGGUUCCCUUGUAGGUAACAUUCUGUUUUUCUCUUGCUGCCUUUAGGAUCCUCUCUUUAUCACUAACUUUUGCCAUUUUUAUUAUGAUGUGUCUUGGUGUGGGUCUGUUUGGGUUCAGUUUGUUUGGGGCCCUCUGUGCUUCUUGUAUCUUGAAUCCAGUAUCCUUUAGAUUUGGGAAGUUUCCAGCGAUAAUUUCUUCAAAUAUAUUUUCCAUUCCCUUAUCUUUUUCUACUCCUUCUGGAAUUCCUAUUAUGCGUAGAUUGGCCCGCUUUAUAUUAUCCCAUAGGUCUCUUAUAUUGCUUUCCAGUUUUUUGAUUCGGUUUUCUGUCUGUUGACCAGAUUGAGUGAUUUCCAUUAUUCUAUCUUCCAUAUCACUGAUUCGUUCUUCUGCAUUAUUCAUUCUGGUUUUUACUGCCCCUAGUUCAGUUUGCAUCUCUGCAAAUGAAUGUUCUAGUUUUUCUUGGCUCCUCCUUAUAUUUUCUAGUUCCUUUCUGAGGGUAUCUGCAUUACUGUUCAUAUCUUCUCUUAAUUCCUUCAGUAUUUUCACUAUUUCUCUUUUGAACUCCAGGUCUGUCUGACUGCAGAGAUCUGUUUCAUUGUUGACUGUUUUAGGUGAGUUCUCCUGUUGGUUUGACUGGGGGUGGUUUCUCAGCUUCUUCAUCUUGCUUGUUGUUUUCUUUCUCCUGAGGGAGUUGUACUCUCCGUUAUCGGGCAGUGUUUGCCUUGUCACUGCCGUGGAAUAUUUCCUGAGGGCUGGCGUUGUUGGUCAAUCUUUUUUGAGGCAGUGUGGCUUUUCUGGAGUGUUGAUGGGGCUAACAGUGUUUCUUUGAAGCAAAGGAGGACUUCCUGAGGGCAGACAGGACUGGGAGGUCCACACCACGAUGGUAGCAGAUUUCACUUGGUCAUGCAGAGCUUGCUCUGGUGUUUUUAGGCUGUGGGGUUCUUGCAGGGGGUUGGCGGUGUUGGGCAGCUGCUCCUCAGGAGUGCAGCACCCCCUGGGGGCUGGAGCAGCUAUCUGGGUCACUGAGAACCUAAGAGGCUCUUCCCUAGGGCAGCCCAACUCAGAAGGACAGCCUGAGAAUGUAGGCGGAUCUUUUCACAGUCUGGCCGAGCUUGUUGCAGCUUUUCUGGGCUGCAGGGGCUCUUCCAGGGGGCUGGUGGUGCUGAGCAGUUAUUUCACGGGAGUGGGGCACCCCCUGGGGGCUUGGGCGGCAGGGCCGUUGGAAACCGAAGAGGCUCCUCCCCGGGGCAACCCGACUCAGAAAAACCGUCCGAGAAUUAGGCCGAUCUAUUCACAGCCUGGCUAAGCUUGUUCUAGCUUUUCUAGGCUGCAGGCCUUUUCUCGGGGGCUGGUGCUGUUUGGUGCUGCUCUGCGGAAGUGUAGCCCCUCCAAAGGGCAAGCAGGCCUGUGCAGGGACAGCCCCUGCGGUGGUAGGCUUCAGGCAAUUGUUGAGGCCAGCCCUCCUGGAUGGCAGGCAGCCCCAGGUCCGUGAGAGCGUAGGGCGUGGCGGGGGUGGGGGGAGGGGAUGCACUGGGAAGCAGAGUUUUCAGCUAGCUAGCGGGCCUGUAAGCUUGCUGUGGCGUGGGGGGUAUUCUAUGGGGACCCACCCCUUCUUCUCUCCCCUCCCCAGCACGGGCGCAGACCAGGCUCUUCUCCCAGGUUCCCUCUGAUGUGGCUUUCCCCUUCCCCACUCCUGGAGUAUUGCUCCCUUCCUCUGCGACAGCUUUGUUUUCUAGUCUCCCAGGCAGUCUCUGCCCCGUCAACUGGUUUCUAGACCUCCCAAGCAGUUUCCGCUCUGCCCCGCCC
rnacentral:lncRNA from 1 species